rnacentral:rRNA from 1 species
UACGAAGGGGGCUAGCGUUGCUCGGAAUUACUGGGCGUAAAGCGCACGUAGGCGGCUUUCUAAGUCGGGGGUGAAAUCCUGGAGCUCAACUCCAGAACUGCCUUCGAUACUGGAAAGCUCGAGUCCGGGAGAGGUGAGUGGAACUGCGAGUGUAGAGGUGAAAUUCGUAGAUAUUCGGAGGAACACCAGUGGCGAAGGCGGCUCACUGGUCCAUUACUGACGCUGAGGUGCGAAAGCGUGGGAGGCAA